rnacentral:rRNA from 1 species
GUAGGUGGCAAGCGUUGUCCGGAAUUAUUGGGCGUAAAGCGCGCGCAGGUGGUUCGUUUAAGUCUGAUGUGAAAGCCCCCGGGCUCAACCGGGGAGGGUCAUUGGAAACUGGGGAACUUGAGUGCAGGAGAGGAAAGUGGAAUUCCACGUGUAGCGGUGAAAUGCGUAGAUAUGUGGAGGAACACCAGUGGCGAAGGCGACUUUCUGGCCUGUAACUGACACUGAGGCGUGAAAGCGUGGGGAGCAAACAGGAUUAGAUACCCUGGUAGUCCACGCCGUAAACGAUGAGUGCUAAGUGUUGGGGGGUUUCCGCCCCUCAGUGCUGCAGCUAACGCAUUGAGCACUCCGCCUGGGGAGUACGGCCGCAAGACUG